rnacentral:rRNA from 1 species
CUACAGGCUUAACACAUGCAAGUCGAGGGGCAGCAUGGUCUUAGCUUGCUAAGGCCGAUGGCGACCGGCGCACGGGUGAGUAACACGUAUCCAACCUGCCGUCUACUCUUGGACAGCCUUCUGAAAGGAAGAUUAAUACAAGAUGGCAUCAUGAGUCCGCAUGUUCACGUGAUUAAAGGUAUUCCGGUAGACGAUGGGGAUGCGUUCCAUUAGAUAGUAGGCGGGGUAACGGCCCACCUAGUCUUCGAUGGAUAGGGGUUCUGAGAGGAAGGUCCCCCACAUUGGAACUGAGACACGGUCCAAACUCCUUUACGGGAGGCAGCAGUGAGGAAUAUUGGUCAAUGGGCGAGAGCCUGAACCAGCCAAGUAGCGUGAAGGAUGACUGCCCUAUGGGUUGUAAACUUCUUUUAUAAGGGAAUAAAGUCGGGUAUGUAUACCCGUUUGCAUGUACUUUAUGAAUAAGGAUCGGCUAACUCCGUGCCAGCAGCCGCGGUAAUACGGAGGAUCCGAGCGUUAUCCGGAUUUAUUGGGUUUAAAGGGAGCGUAGAUGGAUGUUUAAGUCAGUUGUGAAAGUUUGCGGCUCAACCGUAAAAUUGCAGUUGAUACUGGAUAUCUUGAGUGCAGUUGAGGCAGGCGGAAUUCGUGGUGUAGCGGUGAAAUGCUUAGAUAUCACGAAGAACUCCGAUUGCGGAGGCAGCCUGCUAAG